rnacentral:rRNA from 1 species
CCUACGGGAGGCUGCAGUCGAGAAUCUUUCUCAAUGGGCGAAACCCUGAUCGUGCGACGCCGCGUGGGGGAUUGAAGGUCUUCGGAUUGUAAACUUCUGUUAUGUGGGAGCAAAAUAAAACGAUAGUACCACAAGAGGAAGAGACGGCUAACACUGGGCAAGUAACUGCGGUAAUACAGAGGUCUUAAGCGUUGUCCGGAAUCACUGGGCUUAAAGUGUGUGUAGGCGGUUUCGUAAGUCGUGUGUGAAAGGCGCGGGCUCAACCCGGGGAGGGCACAGGAGACUGUGGGAUUCGAGUGAUGGGGGGGGAGCGGGAAGUGUCGGUGUGGCGGGGAAAUGCGUAGAUAUCGAGAGGAACACUCAUGGCGAAGGCAGGUUCCUGGA